rnacentral:rRNA from 1 species
AAUUUUCUAAAUUUAUAUUAUUUUUUUUUUUUAAUUUAUAUUUUUGUUGAAAAUAACAAAUUUUCCUUUAAGACUAAAAGACCCUAAAAUUUUUAUAAAUUUUUUUAUUUGAUUGGGGCAAUAUAUAAUAAAA